rnacentral:misc_RNA from 1 species
UACGGAGGGGGCUAGCGUUGUUCGGAAUUACUGGGCGUAAAGCGCACGUAGGCGGGUCGUUAAGUCGGUGGUGAAAUCCUGGGGCUCAACCUCAGAACUGCCUUCGAUACUGGCGACCUUGAGUACGGGAGAGGUGAGUGGAAUUCCCAGUGUAGAGGUGAAAUUCGUAGAUAUUGGGAAGAACACCAGUGGCGAAGGCGGCUCACUGGCCCGUAACUGACGCUGAGGUGCGAAAGCGUGGGGAGCAAACAGG